rnacentral:rRNA from 1 species
AUUGAACGCUGGCGGCAGGCUUAACACAUGCAAGUCGAGCGGAGAGAGGUAGCUUGCUACUGAUCUUAGCGGCGGACGGGUGAGUAAUGCUUAGGAAUCUGCCUAUUAGUGGGGGACAACAUUUCGAAAGGAAUGCUAAUACCGCAUACGUCCUACGGGAGAAAGCAGGGGAUCUUCGGACCUUGCGCUAAUAGAUGAGCCUAAGUCGGAGUAGCUGGUUGGUGGGGUAAAGGCCUACCAAGGCGACGAUCUGUAGCGGGUCUGAGAGGAUGAUCCGCCACACUGGGACUGAGACACGGCCCAGACUCCUACGGGAGGCAGCAGUGGGGAAUAUUGGACAAUGGGCGCAAGCCUGAUCCAGCCAUGCCGCGUGUGUGAAGAAGGCCUUAUGGUUGUAAAGCACUUUAAGCGAGGAGGAGGCUACUUUAGUUAAUACCUAGAGAUAGUGGACGUUACUCGCAGAAUAAGCACCGGCUAACUCUGUGCCAGCAGCCGCCGUAACAC